rnacentral:misc_RNA from 1 species
GUGAGUUGAGGAUUGUACAAAGCAGCAGCUUGUUGCAGUUCAGGUGAGCAUUUCCCAUUUCUGCUCCUUAAGGCCAAUUCUGCAGGGGCACAACCCAUUGGACCUGUCCCUGUUACAAGAACCCUCCGUGCUCUAAGAUCAUAUUGUCUCUGAAGAAGUUUUCUGUACUCAGGAAUGAUAAAUUUCACAUAAUUUGGUACUGAAUACUGCUGAGACCUUAAAGAGUUAGGCACCAAGUAAUAGUU